ACUGAAACUAAAUCACAAUGAUAUCUAACAAAUCAAACGCUUCUUUGUAGUAACACACAAGGAACAAAGACACAAAGACUGAGUGCCGCAUCAGUGGUAUGGUUGUAUGGUCCAUUGUAGGAAAUUUUAUUGAAUUUUAAGAGGGGAAAUUUAAGGUUACAUAUUCAGUCAGUCAUACAUGGUUGGACUGAUGUGACAAAGGAUCCUGUAUCUAUGUAUAUUUAUAUGUAUUGUUAAGUAGUAUAAAGAAGAAGACUUUUAAAGAUAUUGUAAACUCAUUCUUUUGAUUUUAUGAUAAAGGCCACCAGACAAUCCUAGUAAUUAUAAUGAAAUUCUCUUUGAAACUUUACAGGCACUGGAUUUGUUAGACAAACUUUUAACACUAGACCCAGCCAAAAGAAUAGAUUCCUCAACAGCACUUGACCAUGAUUUCUUCUGGACUGAUCCCAUGCCCUGUGAUUUGUCCAAGAUGUUGUCACAACACACACAGAGUAUGUUUGAGUAUUUAGCUCCAGCCAGGCGGCCAGGUGCCUCCAAUAGACCUAUGCUUCAACCUCGCCCACAGGAUAAUGUAUCAUCCUACCAAGAAAGAGUGUAUUAAAUAUAUAAUGAAUAUAACCUUGUAUGUUAACAUA